CCAUAAUUACGGAAACAUCGAUAAUACCAAAAGGGAAACCAUCCCGACAUAGCCCAAACCGGGGUGUCACAAGUCAUGAGCAACUAAGAAAUCUGGAUACAAGUCUACUGAACACUAAUUCCGAUACAAUAGUUCUAAAACAUGAAAAUGAUAAGAUAAGGGAGGCACGGGGCUGCGAACGCCAACAGCUACCUCGUAGUCUCCGAAUCACUACCUAAACUGGGAGAAUCAGCACUUAGGAGCGGACUCUGCAAUACCUGAAUCUGCACACAUUAUGCAGGGAGUAAUGUGAGUACUCCGACUCAGUGAGUAAUAAUUAUAAAUAAUGGCUGAAAGUAUGAAAACACGUAAAGGCACAAAACAAUUCCAUAUCAAGUAGUAAAAUCACUUAAAGCAAUAAAUCAGUAUUGAAAUCAAAUGAUAUUUCUUUUUAAAACAAGUAAAAUAGGUAAUUUAACAGGUAAAUAACAAGUAGAAAAUCCGCCCCUCUAGUACAGUAUCAACAACUCAGAACAGUAUCAGUCCCUCACGCUUACUCUUAGAUCAUAAUGGGUACCCACGCUCACUGUGGGUGUGCAGACUCCGGAGGGGCCCCUUACGGCCCAAGCGCUAUAUCAAGCCACCUCGUGGCAUCAUCACUCGGUACUCGGCCUCACAUCACUCGGCACUCGGCCUUACAUCACUCAAGCCACCUCGUAGCAUAGAAAGUAUCUCAGGCCCUCGGCCUCAUAUAACUUAAUAUAUCCUCACAUAUGGCUCUCGGCCUCACUCAGUCCAAAAAUCAUCACAAGCCCCUUGGGCAUUAGUAAAAUAGUAGUUCUCAGCCCAAGACAUGAUGUAGAAAUAUUAUUUAAGUUUCAAAUCUGAGUAAAAGUGGCUGAGUUUGUAAAACAGUAGAUAUCAACGAGACUGAGUUCAAAUAAUAAGUCAAGCAGUCAGGAAACAGUGAUAAAAAUCCCCGAAGGGUUCAAAUAGUUGGCACGAUGCCCAAAUAUGGCAAUCAGCCCAAAUCAUGAUGAUAACAAAUGAAUUUCAGUCAAAUACGCGGUAAAAUCAUCAAUUGGGACAGACCAAUUCACAAUCCCCAGUAGUAAAAGACCUCACGCUCAUCAUCCAGUGCGUAUAUUGCCUCAAUAUAGCACUACGAUGUUCAAUCCGGGGUUUCAAACCCUCAGGACAACAUUUACAAUCAUUACUCACCUCAAGCCGGCCAAAACUCUAGCUCGCUAUGCCCUUGCCUCUCAAAUCGGCUUCCUCGCACGUCGAAUCUGACCAAAACCACAACGAAUACGUCACAAUAGGCUAAGGAAACAAUACCCAAUCGAAAAUAAUCGAAAAAUAUCAAAAAUUCCGAAAUUGGCAAAACCCGAGCCCCGGGCCCACUUCUCGAAACUCAAACAAAUUUACAUCAUUAGAUUCCUUAUCUCGCCACGAGUUUAUACAUAUAAAAAUCACAAGAAUCGGAGUUCAAUUGACCCCUCAAAUUCCUAAUCUUAGCUCUCUUAAGUUCAAGCCCUAACCUCCAUUUUUAGUCCAUGAUUUUCUUAAAUUUCCAGUCUUAAUUCAUGUAAUAACACCAUAGGAUUGUGUUUUAGGUCCAAAAAUCCUUACCUUAUCGAAGCUCCUUGAAAUUCCUCUUCAAAAUCGUCCAAAAUUCUCCAAGUCUGAAGUUAGAAAUGAGAAACCCUCCAAAAUUCGCGAAGAAGAACUUAAAUACCUUCUGCCCAGCCAUAACCGCAUCUGCGGUCAAAUAGCCGCUUCUGCGGUUGAAACUCUGCAUAUGCGGAACCCCAUUAAGUCCCGCCUAGCCGCAUCUGCGGUCCAAUAGCUGCAUAUGCGGCUCCCUAUCCGUAUCUGCGGUCCCAGCCAAUCCUUGCCUUUUCCGCUUCUGCGACCCCCAACCCGCAUCUGCGACACCGCACCUGCGGUCCCCAAACCGCAGGUGCGAAAAUACCUGAAGCACCAGAAAAUCUGCAACAACACAAGUCCAAACUCUUCCCGUUAGCCAUCCGAAACCAUGCCGAGGCCCUCGGGACCUCAACCAAACGCACCAACGCAUCUUAAAUCAUCAUUCAAAUUUGUUCCAAUCAUCAUAUCACCUCGAACAACACCAAAACUGUCAAUUCACAUCGAAUUCAAGCCUAAGUUCUUCUAAAACUUCCGAAACACGCAUUCGAUCAAAAACCCGACUAAAUCACCUCCAAACGACCUAAAAUUUUACACAACUCUCGGAAGUCCGUUCUGACCCUCGGAUCAAAAUCUCACCUACUAACCGGAAAUCGCCAAAAUACUAACUUCGCCAAAACAAGCUAAUUUCUACACCGGACCUCCAAAACCACUUCCGAUCACGCUCCUAAGUCAAAAAUCAUCCUCCGAAGCUAACCGAAUCAUCGGAAAUCACAUCCGAGCCCUCUAACUUAUAAGUCAACAUCCGGAUGACUUUUCCAAACUAAGUCUUCCUUAAAGAGACUAAGUGUCUCAUUUCCUACCAAAACCAAUCCAAAUCGACUCGAUCACACCAAUUACAGAUAAUGAAGCAUAAAGAAGCUGAAAACGGGGAAAACGGAGCAGUAACUCAUGAGACGACGGGUCGGGUCGUCACAAUCAGCUGGCCUUGUCUUCAUGAGAGGCGCCAUCACGACCAGGUCUGGGUUUAGGGUCGUGACAUUCACAUUCACUUCGGGGCAUUCCCCUGAUAAAAUAUGAAAAUAUAUGUACAAACUCUGCGGAGCAUUCCCCUGAAUAAAAACUAAAGGGAACGACCUCUUGCCUCGAGUAAAAUAAAAGACGAGACCUAAAAUUUACCUACCCAAAUGAUGACGUCCUAAGUAUGCUACUAGCGGAAAAAUAAAGAGCUAAUAAUAACUAAAUAGAAAUACUAAACUUUAAACGCAAUUCUGUUUUCUUUCAAUUUUCAAUUCCACGACCUUUUGAUUCAAGCCUGACUAAUGAAAUAAUGAUCCCAUCACUUUUCUUUUAACAUGAUUCCACCCCCCCCCCCCCUCCCCAAACUGCCCAAACCAAAUUAAGAUUAAUGAUCCUUUUCUAAAUAUUAAUCAAGUUAAGCAACUUAAAAUAUACUUUUAACAAAGAAUACAUAAACUAAAUGAUGAACAAAUCAAACAGAAGCAGUUUUAAUCAAGAACGAAAAGUAAUAGGCAACCAAAUCAAGAUUCCAUUCAUUGCAUCGAGAAAACAGAUCUUAAAACUAAAGAGCAAAUACAGUUUAGAAUUGGACCUUUAUAGUUGUAACAUGUUUUUGAAACAAUGAACAAGAAAACUUCUGGCUAGAGUUGAUGAUCUCGACGGACCGGACCUUGACAACCACAAAACUUCAAUACUCAUCUCCGAAUAGAUCUCACAAACGAGCUCAAAAAUGGACUCAAACUAGCGAAACUUCAGCAGCAAAAAUGAGGCUCAAGGCAACCCAGAAAUUGAACUUCAAAAUCCCCUAAAAAAUUGUUUGCAAACUGAAAAGAAAAUCAGAAAACUUUUGCUUCUUUUUCAAAGGGAAUUUCGGCUAAAAUAAGGCUUAGGAUAUCAACUGUUUUGUAGUAUGGUAAGGCAUCCAACAAUCUCCUAAACACUGUAAGAUCAGAUAAUGAACAAGGCAAGCCUUCGAUUGGGGGACUGAGCAAUGAAGAAUGUACAUCGAAUUUGAGGUAGGGCCAAAUGUAGAGGAUGUAUGAGGUGGCUAUUGUUCCGUUUGUGAGAAUAUGGGUAGAUGAGGUUUGGUUCGUUUCUUGGGGUCGGCUGACUCUGCUAGAGUGGGAGGGGUCCGGCCGCUGACCUAUCUAGGGUUCCUUAGAAAUUUUUGUGGUGUUGCUCGAAGGUUGUUGCUAGAUUUCCGGCCACUCACUGGUGAAGCAGUGGUAGCAGAAGAAACAAGGGGAGGGAGAGAGAGUGAGGUAAGAGAAGAGUGGAGGGGAGAAGGUGGGGCGGCUGGAGUAGUCCUUCUCCUUUGGUUGGGCGGCUGAAGGUGUAGAAAAGGAAGAGUGGGGUUCGGC
rnacentral:lncRNA from 1 species